rnacentral:rRNA from 1 species
UUGUUCGGAAUUACUGGGCGUAAAGCGCACGUAGGCGGAUUUGUAAGGCAGGGGUGAAAUCCCGGGGCUCAACCUCGGAACUGCCUUUGAUACUGCAAAUCUCGAGUCCGGAAGAGGUGAGUGGAAUUCCUAGUGUAGAGGUGAAAUUCGUAGAUAUUAGGAAGAACACCGGUGGCGAAGGCGGAUCUCUGGGCCAUUACUGACGCUGAGGAGCGAAAGCGUGGGGAGCGAACAGG